rnacentral:rRNA from 1 species
AUUGAACGCUGGCGGCAGGCUUAACACAUGCAAGUCGAGCGAGCGGCGGACGGGUGAGUAAUGUCUGGGAAACUGCCUGAUGGAGGGGGAUAACUACUGGAAACGUUAGCUAAUACCGCAUACCAUCAGAUGUGCCCAGAUGGGAUUAGCUAGUAGGUGGGGUAAUGGCUCACCUAGGCGACGAUCCCUAGCUGGUCUGCGAGGUUGACCAGCCCACCUGGAACUGGGACACGGUCCAGACUCCACGGGGAGCCAGCGGUGGGGAAUAUUGCACAAUGGGCGCAAGCCUGAUGCAGCCAUGCCGCGUGUGGGAAGAAGGCUUUCGGGUUGUAAAGCACUUUCAGCGAGGAGACGUUACUCGCAGAAGAAGCACCGGUUAACUCCGUGCCAGCAGCCGCGUAAUUC